rnacentral:rRNA from 1 species
UACAGAGGUCCCAAGCGUUGUUCGGAUUCACUGGGCGUAAAGGGUGCGUAGGUGGUCAGGUAAGUCGGAUGUGAAAUCUCCGAGCUCAACUCGGAAACUGCAUUGGAAACUACCUGGCUCGAGGGUUGGAGGGGGGACUGGAAUGCUUGGUGUAGCAGUGAAAUGCGUAGAUAUCAAGCGGAACACCAGUGGCGAAGGCGAGUCCCUGGACAACUUCUGACGCUGAGGCACGAAAGCUAGGGGAGCAAACAGG